CUCCACAGCAGUUUUAAAGGCUUUCUUUUGACUUCCCUGCCAUUCAAGCAGGGGUUAAACUCGAGUAAAAUAAUUGCUGUAAUGAGCAAAGGCAAUCUGCCACAGACAGAGGCCGGCUCCAGCGUGGCUGUAGCUCCAGGCAAGGCGGAACUUUUAUCAUUCCUAAAAUGUCAACGGGGGACUGGGACGGGCAACACUCCUCAGUGCGCCGUGAUUUCCUCCUCCUCAGUUCUGAAAGGUUUCUGUCCUGGAAAGUGUUCCCAAAGAGUUUCCCAUUUAUUCAGGCACUCUCAAAGACACGUUUCUCCUUCGGCUUCGAAGUUUUUGCAAUAUUACAGCUUUCAGUCUGAGUUUAAGGUAAAGUGUUUUUUUCUUUCGAUUUGAUUUAUACCCGUUUUUUAAAUUUCAUCUAUUUUUCUCAGAUAAUCUCCAGUCCGUCCAUGAGGGAUGAAUUUAUACAUAAUCCCCGACAAUAGGUUCAAAUCACACGGAUGAACGCUCUAUGUGAAAAAGAAGAGAAACUUGACACAAAAGAGCCUAAGGGGAUCGGCCGAUUCUUUGAAACUCUUUCAUUCUUUUGUCUCCAGCACUCUAUCUUGCCAGGAGCCAAACAGAAAACAAAAGUCACUUGUUUAGAUCAUCCAAAAGAUCACAGGAGGCUGUUUGACUCCGUAGUAAAACCUCUUGAUCCUCACGAAAGAAAAAUGGGUUAUUAGAUGCCGUCAAAGCAGCCUGGAUAAAUGAUUAAGGAAUGGGCCCUUUACUCUGCAUUACUUUUUCAUGUGGGGUAGGCCUGCGUUAUGUGGCUCUUUGGGCUGAAUUAUUAAAUGAAGUAUCUCAGAAAAAAAAAUUCAUAUCACACAAUUCGUGUUAGUCCCGAUCAAUUACGACGAUCAGUGUGAAUUUGUAGUUUUAGGAAACAGCGAACUGAAAAAACGCCGACUGGCCUUUCGUUGAAGCGUAUUAAGCCAUGAAUAUGGGUUAAACUGGUUGUUCUCUUUAUUUUCAAAACGAUACAAUUCAUUAUUUUACCCGUAUGCUACUUGAUCAUUAAAGAAGCUUAGAGAAUAAAACCAAGUAGAGAUUAUGAAAGCACUUACAUUUGAGUUAAAGAAAGUUCGGAAAUUUGUUACUGUAAUUUGAUGUUGUUUUCUAAAUAAAUACAAUUAUG
ensembl:lncRNA